GAGUUUGAUCGUGGCUCAGGAUGAACGUUGGCGGCAUGCUUAACACAUGCAAGUCGAACGCUCCCUUCGGGGAGAGUGGCGCACGGGUGCGUAACACGUAGGUGAUCUGCCUCAAAGUGGGGGAUAACCACGAGAAAUCGUGGCUAAUACCGCAUGUGCUAGUGGGUGUUUGAGUCCCAUUAGGAAGCUUUAUGUGCUUUGAGAGGAGCCUGCGGCCUAUCAGCUGGUUGGUGUGGUAACGGCGCACCAAGGCGACGACGGGUAGCUGAUCUGAGAGGAUGGUCAGCCACAGGGGAACUGAGACACGGUCCCCACUCCUACGGGAGGCAGCAGUGAGGAAUAUUGGUCAAUGGAGGAAACUCUGAACCAGCAAUGCCGCGUGCAGGAUGACGGCCCUCGGGUUGUAAACUGCUUUUGAGAGGGAGUAGCAA
rnacentral:rRNA from 1 species